rnacentral:misc_RNA from 1 species
AAGUCGUAACAAGGUCUCCGUUGGUGAACCAGCGGAGGGAUCAUUACAGAGUUAUACAACUCCCAUACCAUUUGUAAACUUUACUCAGUUAUGCCUCGGCGUGAACUGCGUACGGAGGCAGAGUGGUGUUACCCGGUAGCUUACCCUGUAGGUUACCCUGUAGCGCUACCCUGUAUCAACUCCCGCGCAGCCCGCCGGUGGUACACUAAACUCUUGUUUUAUUUUAUAUUCUGAGCGUAUUAUUUUAAUAAUUAAAACUUUCAACAACGGAUCUCUUGGUUCUG